rnacentral:rRNA from 1 species
UACGUAGGGGGCUAGCGUUGUCCGGAAUCAUUGGGCGUAAAGCGCGUGUAGGCGGUUCGGUAAGUCCGCUGUGAAAGUCGGGGGCUCAACCCUCGAAUGCCGGUGGAUACUGUCGGACUAGAGUACGGAAGAGGCGAGUGGAAUUCCUGGUGUAGCGGUGAAAUGCGCAGAUAUCAGGAGUAACACCAAUUGCGAAGGCAGCUCGCUGGGACGUUACUGACGCUGAGACGCGAAAGCGUGGGGAGCAAACAGG